GGAUAAGAGCUGAAAGCAUCUAAGCUCGAAGCCGCCCCAAAGACGAGGCAAUACAGAACUCUCGUAGAAGACGAGUUUGAUAGACUUCGGAUGUAAGU
rnacentral:rRNA from 1 species